CCAUCGGUGAACAAUGCGACCUGCGGACCACCGCCGGUCAGCGAUGUCGCCGUCGUUGUCACCGAUGCAGCAUUGACGUCGGACAAGCCGCCCGCGCCGUCGUCAACCACACGCAGCGUCGAUCCCGCCGGAUUCGAGAACUGGAUGUUGGCCCCGCCCAGCGCGGCAUUGAGCUGCGACACGACCGACGACAUGCCGCCGGAGAAAUCNGACGCCGAUCACCUUGUCGUUCGGAUCGAUUGUCGCCGUAUCCUUCAGCGGCAAUGCACUCGGAUCAUCCACGCGGAUGAUCGACAUAUUGCGCUGAACACCGGUGCUGUCGGUGUAGGUGAGACGAACGGUGUUGCCGGCCUGAAGACCUGUGAGAUCGAGAUCGAAGCCGGCCGGCGUGCCGG
rnacentral:misc_RNA from 1 species